UACGUAGGGGGGCAAGCGUUGUCCGGAUUUAUUGGGCGUAAAGAGCGUGUAGGCGGCCAUACAGGUCAGCUGUGAAAACUCGAGGCUCAACCUCGAGACGUCGGUUGAAACCGUAUGGCUAGAGUCCGGAAGAGGAGAGUGGAAUUCCCGGUGUAGCGGUGAAAUGCGCAGAUAAUCGGGAAGAACACCUACGUGGACGGAAGGCAGCUGCGUCUGGGAC
rnacentral:rRNA from 1 species